AGGAUUUAUUCGCUCAAGGAUGGACUCGCGUCCAAUUAGCUAGUUGGUGAGGUAACGGCCCACCAAGGCGACGAUUGGUAGCCGGACUGAGAGGUUGAUCGGCCACAUUGGGACUGAGACACGGCCCAGACUCCUACGGGAGGCAGCAGUGGGGGAUAUUGCACAAUGGGGGAAACCCUGAUGCAGCGACGCCGCGUGUGGGAAGAAGGUUUUCGGAUUGUAAACCACUGUUCUUGGUGAAGAUAAUGACGGUACCUGACUAAGAAGCCCCGGCUAACUAC
rnacentral:rRNA from 1 species